AUGCAGAAUAACAUUGAUAGAUCAUGGAUCCUUUUAAAAAAAAUAGAAGAAAGCUGUAACUUUGGUUGAAGGCCGAUUAUCUCCAAUGAAUCUGGUAAGGUUCAAGAAUUGAUGGAGACUAUGCUUAUGAGUUCGAGAGUAAUGUAUGACUCGCUGCCAUGGGUAAACCAAUGGAUGAUACAAUCAGGCCAUUUUUCAUGUUUGGUGAUGGGCUCUGUGCUUCCAGACAAAAAUAGAAGAGGACCCAGGUGCAUCUAAAUUCUAACAAACAUAGAUGACAAUGCUGAUGGUGUAGAAUUUCUUCUCUGUAUCUCAUUCAAAGAAUCAAAAUGACGGACAAGUAGGACUCUUGCUUCUGUCUGCAACAUCCAUCAGUGAACAGUUACCAAUACAAGGAAGAACGAAAGAUCAACAAUGAUGACUAAAUAAUAGAAUGAUGAGGUAAUAUAUUGCUAUAAGCUGAGAACGCUUCAAGUUCUACACUAUCUGCAUCCCUAGGCUUUGAGUGAUCAUGAAAAUACACUCCAGCUUGAUUAAAUAAUGCGAGCAAAUGCAGUAACUCCUCAUUAGAUAGCUUUGAAGGCCUCUUAUCUUCAAAACUACCUGAAUUUAGAACUCCAAGGACCUUCUCUCUGAACAUACUCAUCCGCGUAUCCAAGCAAAAAGAUGAAUAUUCUGUUUCAUCAGUGUCCCCUUCAUCAUCAGUAGCACGAGCAGCAUUGUUGCUGUGAUCAUAAUUGUGGUCGCUGGCAGCACUUUCACUACUUGAGCAAGUCUUUGUGGACAGUUUCAACAAAUCCAACAACUUCCUCUUCUUCUUAAAUGUAGCACCUAGUGUCUUGUUUUUCUUGCCAAAACAGGUUCUCGUGAAAGCCCACCACUCAUCCAGAUUUACAUCAGGAAUUUCAGCUUUGGGACGUAUAAUAACCACGGAUGAGUCAACCUUUGGACAUGGAACAAAGUCCCUUUUGCUCACGUCCAUGGAGAACUCCACAUCAGCAACCAGCUUCACAUUUACCGCCAAGCGGUUGAACUCUGAGUCACCAGGAUUCGCCAACAGUCUCCGUGCAAACUCUUUCUGGAGGAGAAGAGUGGCGCUCCUAAAUGGGUUCGCCCCGUAAACUAAUUUAGCCACAAGAGGAGAAGAUAUUCCAUACGGAAUGUUGGCUACCACAAGAUCAAAUUGAGGAAACUCGGUCUUCAAUGCGUCAUUACAUAUAAC